rnacentral:rRNA from 1 species
UCGCCUGUUUAUCAAAAACAUAGCUAUUAGAGUAAAUUAAUAGUGUGUUCUGCUCAAUGAAUAUUAAAUAGCCGCAGUACCCUGACUGUGCAAAGGUAGCAUAAUCAGUUGGCUUAUAAUUGAAGUCUUGUAUGAAUGAAUGCAUGAGGAAUAACUGUAUCGUUAAUAUAAUAUGAAAUUACUAAGUAAGUGCAAAUUCUUACAAAUAAAUAAUAGACGAGAAGACCCUAGAAAUUUUAAGGAAAUUGUAUUAAGUGAUUUUUGUUGGGGCAACAAUGUAACAAGUAACUUACAUUUAAUAACAUGAAAUAAAUUUGCUAGAUUAAAUUACUCUAGGGAUAACAGCGUAAUGUAUUAACGUUUGCGACCUCGAUGUUGGACUAGGAAACGAAUAC